UUUAAAGUCUGGCCUGCCCAAUGAGGAGUUGAAUGGCCGCGGUAAUUUGACCGUGCAAAGGUAGCAUAAUCAUUAGUUUUUUAAUUGAAAGCUGGAAUGAAUGGUCGGACGAGGGAACAGCUGUCUCUGUUUAAUUGUAAUAGAAUUUUAUUUUUAAGUAAAAAAGCUUAAAUGUAUUUAAAAGACGAGAAGACCCUAUAGAGUUUUAUAUAAAGUGUAAAAUGAUGGAUUUAGAAUAUAAAUAGUAGUUUUAUAUUUUGUAUUUUGUUGGGGCGACAGAAAAAUUAAAAGAACUUUUUUUAUAGUAACUCAUUAAUGUAUGUAUGAAUGAUCCGUUAUUAACGAUUAUAAGAUUAAAUUACCUUAGGGAUAACAGCGUUAUUUUUCUUGAGAGUUCUAAUCGAAAGAAGAGUUUGCGACCUCGAUGUUGGAUUAAAAUUAAUUUUUGGUGUAGGGGCUAAAAUAUUAGGUCUGUUCGACCUUUGAAAUUUUACAUGAUCUGAGUUUAAACCGGCGUGAGCCAGGUUGGUUUCUAUCUUUAAAUAAAGUAAAUAUUUUAGUACGAAAGGAUCAGGUAUUUAUAAAAUUUAUUAUAUUUUGAAUAUGAUUG
rnacentral:rRNA from 1 species